rnacentral:rRNA from 1 species
UAGAUACCCCACUAUGCCUACCGUAAAAUAUUGACUCACAAAUACCAGCGCCCGGGAAUUACGAGCUCAGCUUAAAACCCAAAGGACUUGACGGUGUCCCACCCAACUAGAGGAGCCUGUUCUAUAAUCGAUAAUCCCCGCUUCACCUGACCUUUUUUUGCUCUUCAGCCUGUAUACCUCCGUCGUAAACUUACCAUAUGAAUGUCUUAUAGUGUUGUUCAAUGUUUUACCUAUCAGAACGUCAGGUCAAGGUGCAGCCUAUAAAAAGGCAAGCAAUGGGCUACAAUCUUCAACUUAAAACAAA